UAAGACAGAGGUGCCGAGCGUUAGGCGGAAUCACUGGGCUUAAAGCGUGUGUAGGCGGGUCGUUAAGUGCCUUGUGAAAUCCCACGGCUCAACCGUGGAACUGCUGGGCAUACUGGCGAUCUUGGGCCACCUAGGGGUCACCGGAACAAGCGGUGGAGCGGUGAAAUGCGUAGAUAUCGCUUGGAACGCCGGCGGCGAAAGCGGGUGACUGGAGGUGUGCCGACGCUGAGACACGAAAGCCAGGGGAGCGAACGGGAUUAGAUACCCCGGUAGUCCUGGCCCUAAACGAUGUCCACUAGGCCGCGGGACCUUUGACGGGUCUGGCGGCCGGAGCAAAAGUGUUAAGUGGACCGCCUGGGAAGUACGGUCGCAAGGCUA
rnacentral:rRNA from 1 species